UACGAACCGUACAAACGUUAUUCGGAAUCACUGGGCUUAAAGGGUGCGUAGGCGGCCAUGUAAGUGGGGUGUGAAAUCCCUCGGCUCAACCGAGGAACUGCGCUCCAUACUGCAUGGCUUGAGGGAGACAGGGGUAAGCGGAACUGAUGGUGGAGCGGUGAAAUGCGUUGAUAUCAGAAGGAACGCCGGUGGCGAAAGCGACGAACUGGACCUCUUCUGACGCUGAGGCGCGAAAGCUAGGGGAGCAAACGGG
rnacentral:rRNA from 1 species